rnacentral:rRNA from 1 species
CACGUAGGGGGCAAGCGUUGUCCGGAUUCAUUGGGCGUAAAGAGCUCGUAGGCGGUUCGAUAAGUCGGGUGUGAAACCUCCAGGCUCAACCUGGAGACGCCACCCGAUACUGUCGUGACUAGAGUCCAGUAGGGGAGCGUGGAAUUCCUGGUGUAGCGGUGAAAUGCGCAGAUAUCAGGAGGAACACCAGCGGCGAAGGCGGCGCUCUGGGCUGGCACUGACGCUGAGGAGCGAAAGCCAGGGGAGCAAACGGG